UUUUGGACAAUGGGCGCAAGCCUGAUCCAGCCAUUCCGCGUGAGUGAAGAAGGCCUUCGGGUUGUAAAGCUCUUUCGCAAGGGAAGAAAACUUACUUUCUAAUAAAGAGUGAGGUUGACGGUACCUUGAUAAGAAGCACCGGCUAACUACGUGCCAGCAGCCGCGGUAAUACGUAGGGUGCGAGCGUUAAUCGGAAUUACUGGGCGUAAAGCGUGCGCAGGCGGCUUUGUAAGUCAGAUGUGAAAUCCCCGAGCUCAACUUGGGAACUGCGUUUGAAACUACAAGGCUAGAAUAUGUCAGAGGGGGGUAGAAUUCCACGUGUAGCAGUGAAAUGCGUAGAGAUGUGGAGGAAUACCAAUGGCGAAGGCGAGCCCCCUGGGGUAAUAUUGACGCUCAUGCACGAGG
rnacentral:rRNA from 1 species